rnacentral:lncRNA from 1 species
GUUUCGUAGUAUAGGGAGAAAUUAUUGUAUAUACGGUACUAGCGUAGUAGUUUUAUAAGUUUACGUCACUAGGUAUAAGACACGUGACUAAUUUUAAUUUAUAGCGGACUUUUUUUUCCUGAUAUCACUUUCUAGCCCGCCGCAGACAGGGCAACUUUCAAUAAUGGACACUGGAAUAUCUAGUACAAUUAAAGAAUCCAUUUCGUUGGAAGUGAAAAAUGCCGUUUCUAACCUUCAACAAGAUAUAUUGAAAAGCAUUUCUACUAUAGUGGAUUCCAGAUUAUCGUCUUUCCAAUCCAACAUAAGACAAUCUCAACAGGACAUUUCACAGUCUCAGAUGUACAAAAUCGAGCAGACCGUUACUGAUAAUUACUCAUUCAAGAGAAAAGGCAAUGAGAACCAGUUCAAACAUGAAUCCAG